GUGAGAGAAUACCUCGCACCUGAGGCCACACUGAACCCUCUGGAUCAAGAACCAAGUACAUACUGGGGUUAGAAGUCAUCUGGGUGUGGCCCCUUGUGAAAGAGCCAGGCCAUCGGCAUGCGCCCGACCAGACACAACAAGCUCAUUCCACGCCCCUGACUGCCCAGUACACACACUCAUUGUCCAGCCCAGAAAUCUGCAGGGUGUACCCUACGUGCCAGGCACAUCUGUUCCAAAAUGACUUUAACAAGGACUGUAAGUAAGCCUGCCUGGGGACCAUGCUUCCCUGCCUGGGUUCUGUCUCUAACAGGCCUUUGGAAUCAUGUGACCAGCUUCUGUGACACCACCCAGCAUGAGCCACUCAGGCUACAGACACAGUGAGAAAGCAGCCAUCUACAAGCCAGGAAGACAGUCCUCACCAGAACCAUCCCUGCCAGUCUUUGAUCUGGGACUUCCAGCCUCCAGAACGCUUCUAUUAAACAACCGCCGCAGGCCAGAGAAGUGCAUUUUCCUCCAUGAAGAGUCCUUUGCUGGCUGACCCCACAUCCCUCCAGGUGCCUGCCACUCCUGGAACACAGCUGACACUGUGCCCUGGUUGUCACAGGUUUAUCCCUCUCCUGUCCCCACCCCACAGUGAGUUUCUUCAGGCCUCGAAUUUGUCCUUCUACCAUAAGAGCUCAACAAGGAUGUGGCCCAGGAAGGCAUCAAGGUUUGAGGAAUUACUGCUAACAAAAUGCCUGGUUCAAUUCUAAAUAUGAGUGCUCGAGAAAUACCAAAAAUCAGGCUUCUGAACAGCACCCACUGAGCACUUACUGCAUGCGAGGCCCUGUGGUGGGUGCUCAAAAUGCCUGAUCUCACUUGGUCAGCCGCCAUGGAAAAUAAUCUGGAGGUUCCUUACAAAAUCAAAACUAGGCCUACCCUCUGACCCAGCAGUGCCUCCUCUGGGUAUGUAUAAAAUAAGCAAGCCAUGGGAUGUAACGUACAGC